UGGGUUAAGUCCCGUAACGAGCGCAACCCUUGUCCUUAGUUACCAGCACGUUAUGGUGGGCACUCUAAGGAGACUGCCGGUGACAAACCGGAGGAAGGUGGGGAUGACGUCAAGUCAUCAUGGCCCUUACGGCCUGGGCUACACACGUGCUACAAUGGUCGGUACAAAGGGUUGCCAAGCCGCGAGGUGGAGCUAAUCCCAUAAAACCGAUCGUAGUCCGGAUCGCAGUCUGCAACUCGACUGCGUGAAGUCGGAAUCGCUAGUAAUCGUGAAUCAGAAUGUCACGGUGAAUACGUUCCCGGGCCUU
rnacentral:rRNA from 1 species